rnacentral:rRNA from 1 species
UACAGAGGGGGCAAGCGUUGUUCGGAAUUACUGGGCGUAAAGGGCGCGUAGGCGGCCCUCUAAGUCAGACGUGAAAUCCCUCGGCUCAACCGGGGAACUGCGUCUGAGACUGGAAGGCUUGAAUUCGGGAGAGGGAUGUGGAAUUCCAGGUGUAGCGGUGAAAUGCGUAGAUAUCUGGAGGAACACCGGUGGCGAAGGCGACGUCCUGGACCGGCAUUGACGCUGAGGAGCGAAAGCCAGGGGAGCAAACGGG